GAUGAAGAACGUAGGUAAAUGCGAUAAGUAAUGUGAAUUGCAGAAUUCAGUGAAUCAUCGAAUCUUUGAACGCACAUUGCGCCCCCUGGUAUUCCGGGGGGCAUGCCUGUCCGAGCGUCAUUACAACCCUCAAGCUCAGCUUGGUGUUGGGCCCCGCCGCCCCGGCGGGCCCUAAAGUCAGUGGCGGUGCCGUCCGGCUCCGAGCGUAGUAAUUCUUCUCGCUCUGGAGGUCCGGUCGUGUGCUCGCCAGCAACCCCCAAUUUUUUUCAGGUUGACCUCGGAUCAGGUAGGGAUACCCGCUGAACUUAAGCAUAUCAAUAAGCGGAGGA
rnacentral:misc_RNA from 1 species